ensembl:lncRNA
UGCGGCAGCUAUGGCGUCUGCUGAUUUGCAACCCGCCGAAAUAGGAUCGGUGAAGAAGGAGACCUUCGAUCGGUUCGCCAUGGACUGUUCUAGGAUCAGUAAGGUUUAAAUACGACUCUAACCAUAGAGCGAUACAGAGUUGUGUUAAAAAGCUGGUCAUCGUUGGUCAUCAACAAGCUGGUGCUUGUGAGAGGGAAAAAGAUGGAUCCGUCUGCAGGUAUGCACAUGUCUGCUGUUCCCCAGAACAAUGAAGUGGUCCACGUCUCUGUCGGUAACCCCAUUAUAACCAUGUAUCAGCCUCAACCACAACCUCCAAACAUUGCACAAAUCAUCACACAGCACGUGAUACCUCAAGAAGUCUCCUGUCAGGCUAUACCGCACACGAUCCCAUCGCACAUCCAAAUGCCAACCCACAUCCAGACUCAGUCACACAUCCAGCCCGCUCCACAUCUGCAGACUCCACCGCAAGGCCACAUGGAAGCACAGGCUCAUAUUCCGACCCAAGACCACGUAUCAAUACAAGGUCCAUCAGAAGGCCAGAGUGCCGCGCCGUCUCAAGAUGGUGCAGUGAACUCACUGCAAGUCCCUUUUGCAGAGGUAGCCUCCCUGCUGGACCCUAACAUGAAGAGCUCAAAGGCUCGCAAAUACCAGAUCCAUUACGACGAGGUGAAGAGGAGAUUGGAACCACCUGAAAAGAUGUCUCUCCGAUCUCUGGCUGCCUAUACAAGAGUGAGUCGAGGUCCGGCUAGUAAGAAAACACUGUUGGAGUCUCUAAAUGUCUUUGGUCUGUCACCAAGCACCAAUACAGCAGUGUCCAGUUCCUUUUCCAAACUAACCGAAGGUGACACGGCUGCCCUUAGCAAAGACAUGAAGGAUUUUGCACUGCAAUAUGUCGAUUAUGAGAAUAUGGCGAAACAGCUGCUACCUGAAACAAACCAAGUGCAGCACUGGUCAAAAAUCAUCGAAACAAGGAAUUAUCUAGAGGAGAUGAGGAAGAUUUUUAAUGACCCUCUGAAUACACGUUUGUUCUCCAAUGUUACGCAUGGCCUUGGUAACGGCAUGAUGGACGUGGCUCUCGAUAUCAUAGAUAACGUCAUCGACCGACAAAUCCGAAUCCUCUCAGGGAACACCGACCCCAAACCUGAACCUCCGGUGAGAAGGAUAAGGAAACGCAACCGCAAGCCCAAAGCCGCCACGGAAGACGGCAAACCUAAAGAAAAGGGCAAAAGGGGACGGAAGAAAGGGAAACAGAUGCGGCUGGAUUCUGUUGUUCCUGAGGUUCAACAGUCCUCGGAGAUGGAGAGCAGCAUGUUAACGCUAGUCUCUGUAGGAUACGAAACCAUUUCCAGUGGACUUAACCCCAACAAUGCAGGUCUUGCGUAACAUCACGUACCUGAAAGGUGCAGAGAGACACUGUGAAUUCUGAGUGCAAAAAGUUUUUCAUAGAAAAUUUUAGUUUUAUAAAUGUUAGACUUCUCUCCUUCUCUCAAGACUGGCUAUAUUUUGUUUUGUUUUUUCUCACAAUCUGGUCAGUCAAGAAAAUAUAAUGUAGGUCUGAGAGGAUGUUGGCAGAGAUGUUUUGAUUUAAACCAAUCAUGUAUUGCCCUCAACCUUUUGUUUUGCCGUUUGUGGCAAAGAACAAGUGUACACAGACCAUCUAUGCUAUUAACGUAGCAUGCAAGCAAUUUUUUUUUCAAGCACUAUGUUGUAUUCACAAUAUCAGUUAGUCUCAUUUUAGAAUUUUAUCUCUGAAGGGUUCUUUGAUUCUGUUGAACUUAAUCUUACAAACUCCAAGCAAUUUAGUUUGAGAAUGAACAUAUCUUCUCUUGGACAUUGUUUGAUUUUUUUGGACUAUUUAUUUCCUUUUUCUGUUUGUGUCUGAUAUUUAGUGUAUGUGAACGACUGUAGCCUGUACUCGGUAAGUUUUGCAGAUUGCCCAUUAUGUGCUUGUAUUAAAAGCUUCACCUUUUUUAAGAAAUUUGUAUAUUUAUUACAUUUAUAUUGCUUGCAGAGCGCCCAAAGAAUCCAUUUUAUUACGAGACUGAAAUUUAUGGAAUGGAUUUAUCGUAAUUACAAUUGCAUAUAAUUAGGGUUAGGGAUUUAAGCAAACCCUUAACCCUGCGUAUUCAUUUUAUGAGUUUUGCAUAUCUCACAUUAUUUGUGCUAUGAGCCAUAGAUAUCUGAAACUAUGUGGGUUUUUUUUUUAAUGUGGGUAUCUUGUGAUUUUCAUUAAAUUACAAAAUAUGGAAUGAGGGACACAAUCAUCAUAGAGAGACUUUUUAUACGAUCCAGUAAGUAACAUGUCACAAUAUGUUUAUAACCAUUCAGAACAGCUUUGCAGCCAAAUAACAUCAUAUAAGCAUUGUGGUGGCAACAUUUAGUUGCUGUUAUAAUUAAUCUAAUUCCUUUCAAAUAUCAAUAAUAGCUAAUUGGUUUGUUUUCAAUUAUGCUCACUUCAAAUGCUUUGUAAUCUUUUGUAUUUUCACAAAAGAUUUCCCCACAAAGCAGCUUUUCUGAAUCCCUGGCGAGCAUGCAGAGAAAAUCCUCACCAUGGAGUCAGAUUUGUAGCUGAGCCAAUGAUAUUGUUUGUCUGUUUGUUGUUUGAUGUGGGCGUUCUGCAGUUCACAGUGUCACCUACAGGUGUCCUGUCCAUUGUGAGGCUUUCAUCAGACUGAGGAUUUGGAGUGCAUUAGUGUAGGUCUGAAUCAGCGCAGGCUGUGGAGAGAUAGGGAUUGAGAGGAAGAAAAUAAAUGUGUGAUGAGUGAGAGAGGGAGGAGACA